rnacentral:rRNA from 1 species
GACAGAGGUGCCAAGCGUUAGGCGGAAUCACUGGGCGUAAAGCGCACGUAGGCGGCUUUUUAAGUCAGAGGUGAAAUCCUGGAGCUCAACUCCAGAACUGCCUUUGAUACUGGAGAGCUUGAGUCCGGGAGAGGUGAGUGGAACUGCGAGUGUAGAGGUGAAAUUCGUAGAUAUUCGCAAGAACACCAGUGGCGAAGGCGGCUCACUGGACCACAACUGACGCUGAGGCGCGAAAGCUAGGGGAGCAAACAGGG